AAGACCAAGCAAUCAUUUGAAACACAGUUGAGGGGAUUCCUUAAGUCAAAUACAUUAAAGUAUUAAGCACAUUAACCCAGCCCUUCAAACAUCAAGUUUGCUUCCAUCAAUAAUAUCAUCAAUAUCAAUCAUAUCAAAUAAUCAUUUCUGUGUAAACUAGGUUUACUUCGCUAAAAGACCCAUUGUGGAAGAUAUUGUAAAUCGAAGCCCUUCAAUCAAUGUA